rnacentral:rRNA from 1 species
CAGUCGCCGCGGUAAUACGAAGGGUGCAAGCGUUACUCGGAAUUACUGGGCGUAAAGCGUGCGUAGGUGGUGGUUUAAGUCCGUUGUGAAAGCCCUGGGCUCAACCUGGGAAUUGCAGUGGAUACUGGAUCACUAGAGUGUGGUAGAGGAUAGUGGAAUUUCCGGUGUAGCAGUGAAAUGCGUAGAGAUCGGAAGGAACAUCUGUGGCGAAGGCGACUAUCUGGGCCAACACUGACACUGAGGCACGAAAGCGUGGGGAGCAAACAGGAUUAGAUACCCGCGUAGUCCCUGUCUCUUAUAA